rnacentral:lncRNA from 10 species
CUCAAGCCCAUGCUGAGUAUCUCUGAUUUGGUUAAUUUCUUGGUCACAUGUUGUUUGGUGACUGAUUUUGACUCUCAGGAGGAAGUGGGGUUGCUGUUACACCACGGAGGCAAGAGGAGCAGUAAUAGAACACAGGAGAUCUCCUGAGGCACCUCAUCACUCUCAUGCCAGGGCACAAGUUGAUGGCAAUGUACUGUACCACCUACAGACAAACUACAGACAACCUACCUACAGGCAACCUCCUCAAGAACAAAAGCUUGCUUAACCCAACCAGGCAAAGAAUCCUGGCCAGCUGAGGGGUUGCGUGAAGGAAAGAGGGACCUGGAAUGGUUAGCGGAGAAGGAAAAUUGUAAAUGACAAUAAAGCUUCAUUACCAGUUACAAAAAUGAAGAUCGUAACCUCUAACAGUAUUUCCCUUCUUGCUGUAUUAUA